AUACGGAGGGUGCGAGCGUUAAUCGGAAUUACUGGGCGUAAAGCGUACGUAGGCGGUUGGUUAAGUUAGAUGUGAAAGCCCCGGGCUUAACCUGGGAACUGCAUUUAAAACUAACGAACUAGAGUUGAGUAGAGGGGAGUGGAAUUCCAGGUGUAGCGGUGAAAUGCGUAGAGAUCUGAAGGAACACCAGUGGCGAAGGCGACUCCCUGGACUCGAACUGACGCUGAGGUACGAAAGCGUGGGUAGCAAACGGGAUUAGAAACCCCAGUAGUCC
rnacentral:rRNA from 1 species